UGCACAAAGUGCCAUGUUGAUUUGCAAAUUGUGUGAAAAGCUGAAAACGUGUUUUGGAGAUUUGAGUGUCAAUUAAAAUAAUUGUGCUUUAUGUAGCAUUUUAGUGUGAUAGCAAUCGAGAAAAACGGUAAAAGGUUUGGCAGAGUGCUAUGAUAGGCUCUUGGGAAUAGAGCGAAGUGAUUGGUUAAACUGGAGAGUGACGCCCCCGAUCACUUAUUGAGAAGAGAGAGAGUAAGUUACAUGGGAAUAGUAAAUGAAGAGUAAAGAUGGUCUUCCUGGUUGAACUUACGCUGAGCUUCAUGCUUAGCAUUUUUAAUGGCAGUGUUUUGAAAAUGGCAAACAAGUGAAUAUGUCAGAUUUCUGUGUCUUACUUAGAGAACCGUGUUUUGCGAAAAGUGCCAAGUUGAUUUGCAAAUUGGGUGCAGAGCUGAAAAUGUGUUUAGAGUUUUGUAGAUUUGAGCUGAGGUUUUGCUCUUUGAGUCUGAGUUUAAAUAAUUAUGCUUUAUGUGAGAUUGUUGUGUAACUGAAAAAACUGUAAGUUCAAUGGUAUGUAGUCGGGUAUGUAGUUUUGGGUGCAGUUAGUCAUUCUGCAAAAUGUAUGAGGUGUUUUGCACUUUGGGUGUGUGGUUUUGUGAAUUGUGUAAAGUGUUUUGAGAAAAUGAGCCGUGUUUUCAAAAACUUGUGUUAGCAAUUGUAAAGUGAGAUGAUGCUGAGAUGAUGCUGAUAGUUCAACUUUGCAUACUACCCUACAAUGAAAUGACAGUGUGCCACAUUUCUUGGAAAACUGUUUUUGUUUUUAGUACAACUUGUGCGUUACAUGUAUUUACCAAAUUUCAAAGUGAAUUAUUAACAAUGGAUCGAUUACAUUGCUCAACCAGUCCAAAUAAAAAGGAAGCUGGUUGAGCAGAUCAGAUCAGAAGAAUCAACAACGCAGUGGGGCAAUACAAGAGAUUUGUGAACAGGCACGUGAAAACCAUAGACUGUACAUAUAAAAGUGAAAACAUGAGGACUGUGAUUCUCGCUCUGAUGGUGUUGGUGGGGGUCAGCCAGGGAGAGAUAUUGGUGUGUAGCUGUGGAGGCACCUCAAAGAUAUGUUUACGUGGGGGGGAACCCUGCGGUUUGAAUCAAGUCUGUUCCAGCUUUCUUGUUGUGGUUCAAUCCCGUGUCACUUUCUUCAGCACCUGCAUGACUGCAAAUGCCUGCAGGCUUCUGUGUGACACUCAUGCUGUGUAGUAUUUCCUUAAUAAAGAUCAAUCAGUUGCAGCAA